AACGAACGCUGGCGGCAUGCCUAACACAUGCAAGUCGAACGAGACCUUCGGGUCUAGUGGCGCACGGGUGCGUAACGCGUGGGAACCUGCCCUUAGGUUCGGAAUAACUCCCCGAAAGGGGUGCUAAUACCGGAUAAUGUCUUCGGACCAAAGAUUUAUCGCAUUUGGAUGGGCCCGCGUUGGAUUAGCUAGUUGGUAGGGUAAAAGCCUCCCAAGGCGACGAUCCAUAGCUGGUCUGAGAGGAUGAUCAGCCACACUGGGACUGAGACACGGCCCAGACUCCUACGGGAGGCAGCAGUGGGGAAUAUUGGACAAUGGGCGAAAGCCUGAUCCAGCAAUGCCGCGUGAGUGAUGAAGGCCUUAGGGUUGUAAAGCUCUUUUACCCGGGAUGAUAAUGACAGUACCGGGAGAAUAAGCUCCGGCUAACUCCGUG
rnacentral:rRNA from 1 species